ACCUUGUUAAAAUGCAGAUUAUGAUUCAGCAGGUCUGGGGUAAGGCCUCAAACUCUGCAUUUCUAACAAGUUC
rnacentral:miRNA from 1 species